GGCCGCAUGGCCCAAUGGCAAGGCGCUUGACUACGAAUCAAGAGAUUCCAGGUUCGACCCCUGGUGCGGUCA
rnacentral:tRNA from 2 species